rnacentral:tRNA from 1 species
GUCGUUAGCUCAGUCGGUAGAGCAGUUGACUUUUAAUCAAUUGGUCGCUGGUUCGAAUCCAGCACGAC